UACGUAGGGUGCAAGCGUUGUCCGGAAUUAUUGGGCGUAAAGAGCUCGUAGGCGGUUUGUCACGUCUGCUGUGAAAACUCGGGGCUUAACUCCGGGCCUGCAGUGGGUACGGGCAGACUAGAGUGCGGUAGGGGAGACUGGAAUUCCUGGUGUAGCGGUGGAAUGCGCAGAUAUCAGGAGGAACACCGAUGGCGAAGGCAGUUCUCUGGGCCGUAACUGACGCUGAGGAGCGAAAGCGUGGGGAGCGAACAGG
rnacentral:rRNA from 1 species